UACGGAGGGGGCUAGCGUUGUUCGGAAUUACUGGGCGUAAAGCGCACGUAGGCGGCUUUGUAAGUCAGAGGUGAAAGCCCGGAGCUUAACUCCGGAAUAGCCUUUGAGACUGCAUCGCUUGAAUCCAGGAGAGGUGAGUGGAAUUCCGAGUGUAGAGGUGAAAUUCGUAGAUAUUAGGAAGAACACCGGUGGCGAAGGCGGCCCACUGGAUCGGUACUGACGCUGAGGUGCGAAAGCGUGGGGAGCAAACAGG
rnacentral:rRNA from 1 species